rnacentral:rRNA from 1 species
AAUCAACGCUGGCGGCGUGCCUAACACAUGCAAGUCGAACGCGAAAGUCCCUUCGGGGAUGAGUAGAGUGGCGUCCGGGUGAGUAACGCGUGGGUAAUCUACCUUCGGGUGGGGAAUAACCCAGGGAAACUUGGGCUAAUACCGCAUAAUGCAGCGGCUCGACAUCGAGACAGUUGUUAAAGCAGCAAUGCGCCUGAAGAGGAGCCUGCGUCUGAUUAGCUUUUUGGUGAGGUAAUGGCUCACCAAGGCUACGAUCAGUAGCUGGUCUGAGAGGACGGCCAGCCACAAUGGCACUGAAACACGGGCCAUACUCCUACGGGAGGCAGCAGUGGGGAAUUUUGCGCAAUGGGCGAAAGCCUGGCGCAGCAACGCCGCGUGAAGGAUGAAAUCCCUCGGGAUGUAAACUUCGCAAGUAUGGGAAGAAAUAAAUGACGGUACCAUAUGUAAGCCCCGGCUAACUCCGUGCCAGCAGCCGCAGUAAGAC